AGCCAGGAUGUUGGCUUAGAAGCAGCCAUCAUUUAAAGAAAGCGUAAUAGCUCACUGGUCGAGUCGGCCUGCGCGGAAGAUGUAACGGGGCUAAACCAUGCACCGAAGCUGCGGCAGCGACGCUGAUGCGUUGUUGGGUAGGGGAGCGUUCUGUAAGCCUGCGAAGGUGUGCUGUGAGGCAUGCUGGAGGUAUCAGAAGUGCGAAUGCUGACAUAAGUAACGAUAAAGCGGGUGAAAAGCCCGCUCGCCGGAAGACCAAGGGUUCCUGUCCAACGUUAAUCGGGGCAGGGUGAGUCGACCCCUAAGGCGAGGCCGAAAGGCGUAGUCGAUGGGAAACAGGUUAAUAUUCCUGUACUUGGUGUUACUGCGAAGGGGGGACGGAGAAGGCUAUGUUGGCCGGGCGACGGUUGUCCCGGUUUAAGCGUGUAGGCUGGUUUUCCAGGCAAAUCCGGAAAAUCAAGGCUGAGGCGUGAUGACGAGGCACUGCGGUGCUGAAGCAACAAAUGCCCUGCUUCCAGGAAAAGCCUCUAAGCAUCAGGUAACAUCAAAUCGUACCCCAAACCGACACAGGUGGUCAGGUAGAGAAUACCAAGGCGCUUGAGAGAACUCGGGUGAAGGAACUAGGCAAAAUGGUGCCGUAACUUCGGGAGAAGGCACGCUGAUAUGUAGGUGAAGUCCCUCGCGGAUGGAGCUGAAAUCAGUCGAAGAUACCAGCUGGCUGCAACUGUUUAUUAAAAACACAGCACUGUGCAAACACGAAAGUGGACGUAUACGGUGUGACGCCUGCCCGGUGCCGGAAGGUUAAUUGAUGGGGUUAGCGCAAGCGAAGCUCUUGAUCGAAGCCCCGGUAAACGGCGGCCGUAACUAUAACGGUCCUAAGGUAGCGAAAUUCCUUGUCGGGUAAGUUCCGACCUGCACGAAUGGCGUAAUGAUGGCCAGGCUGUCUCCACCCGAGACUCAGUGAAAUUGAACUCGCUGUGAAGAUGCAGUGUACCCGCGGCAAGACGGAAAGACCCCGUGAACCUUUACUAUAGCUUGACACUGAACAUUGAGCCUUGAUGUGUAGGAUAGGUGGGAGGCUUUGAAGUGUGGACGCCAGUCUGCAUGGAGCCGACCUUGAAAUACCACCCUUUAAUGUUUGAUGUUCUAACGUUGACCCGUAAUCCGGGUUGCGGACAGUGUCUGGUGGGUAGUUUGACUGGGGCGGUCUCCUCCUAAAGAGUAACGGAGGAGCACGAAGGUUGGCUAAUCCUGGUCGGACAUCAGGAGGUUAGUGCAAUGGCAUAAGCCAGCUUGACUGCGAGCGUGACGGCGCGAGCAGGUGCGAAAGCAGGUCAUAGUGAUCCGGUGGUUCUGAAUGGAAGGGCCAUCGCUCAACGGAUAAAAGGUACUCCGGGGAUAACAGGCUGAUACCGCCCAAGAGUUCAUAUCGACGGCGGUGUUUGGCACCUCGAUGUCGGCUCAUCACAUCCUGGGGCUGAAGUAGGUCCCAAGGGUAUGGCUGUUCGCCAUUUAAAGUGGUACGCGAGCUGGGUUUAGAACGUCGUGAGACAGUUCGGUCCCUAUCUGCCGUGGGCGCUGGAGAACUGAGGGGGGCUGCUCCUAGUACGAGAGGACCGGAGUGGACGCAUCACUGGUGUUCGGGUUGUCAUGCCAAUGGCACUGCCCGGUAGCUAAAUGCGGAAGAGAUAAGUGCUGAAAGCAUCUAAGCACGAAACUUGCCCCGAGAUGAGUUCUCCCUGACUCCUUGAGAGUCCUGAAGGAACGUUGAAGACGACGACGUUGAUAGGCCGGGUGUGUAAGCGCAGCGAUGCGUUGAGCUAACCGGUACUAAUGAACCGUGAGG
rnacentral:rRNA from 1 species